rnacentral:pre_miRNA from 3 species
AGUUUUGCAGGUUUGCAUCCAGCUGUAUAAUAUUCUGCUGUGCAAAUCCAUGCAAAACUGA